rnacentral:rRNA from 1 species
UACAGGGGGUGCGAGCGUUAAUCGGAAUUACUGGGCGUAAAGCGCACGUAGUCGGCUUUGCAAGUCGGGUGUGAAAUCCCCGGGCUCAACCUGGGAACUGCAUCCGAGACUGCAUUGCUAGAGUAUGGGAGAGGGAAGCGGAAUUUCUGGUGUAGCAGUGAAAUGCGUAGAUAUCAGAAGGAACACCAGUGGCGAAGGCGGCGACCUGGGCCAAUACUGACGCUGAGGUGCGAAAGCGUGGGGAGCAAACAGG